rnacentral:misc_RNA from 1 species
CUUUCGACAAUCAGAUGACCUUUCAGAUGCCAUAUCUUGAUGGGAGUUGGGUGGCCUCGCUUGAUAGCUUCCUUAAUGGAGAUGCAACUCAGGAUGGUGGAAAUCCAAUGGACCUUUGGAGCUUUGAUGACCUCCCUAAUUUGGAUGGGGGUCUUUAUUGAGCAAAAUCUUAAUUGCCUGUUAGCUUCUGUAAAUAAGGCUACAUG